AUGAGGGUGCUAAAGAUAGCAUCUACCUUCUAGGUGUGAAUGAGCUAAUAAACAUGAGGUGUGGAAUCUGUGAAGCCUGGAGCCGUAGUACACAUCUAGAAUAAAGGUGUGCCCCAAAGUAGCAAGACUGAAAGUUAUUCUUCCCUUGAACCAGAGUACUUCCUGGAAUUCUAAGGCACUCGGAAUUUUCCAAAGAGUUUCAACCGCUUACUGAGCUUCUGAGCUCUUCCCAGCACUACUUUCUGAGAGAGGAUUUUCACAUCACACUAGUGAGGCCCUCUGUUCCUGGCUCUCUGCGUCUGGAGGCCUUCUGGAAUGCGGCCGUCAGCCAGUGGUCCUGUUCCUUUCUCAGAGACAUGACUACCACCCACAGCUCUUCUGAUAGCCUUGUUUUUUAUUGCCAUGGCUCAUUGGAUCAAAGCCUUGGAGUUUGAUGCAAGUUCAGAAUAAUUCAAAGAUUAACUCAUCUUUGUGUGCUUGAGGAGCUACACAAGCAACAUCUGGUUCAGCCUGCAGAGGGAUUUUUCACCCAAAGAGUUUCACAUUUCAACAUGUGAGCCAUCCUGCUGAAUAACAUCAUCGACGGGAAACAACACUCAGAGACCUCAUCUUGUAACAAGAGCUCUGUGUAACACCCCGUGGUCAUGUUUUGCACACAACCAUAAUAAAUGGUGCAAAUCGUAA